rnacentral:rRNA from 1 species
CCUACGGGAGGCAGCAGUGGGGAAUAUUGGGCAAUGGAGGAAACUCUGACCCAGCGACGCCGCGUGCGGGAUGAAGGCCUUCGGGUUGUAAACCGCUUUCAGCAGGGAAUAAGCGCAAGUGAAGGUACCUGCAGAAGAAGCACCGGCUAGCUAUGUGCCAGCAGCCGCGGUAAUACAUAGGGUGCAAGCGUUGUCCGGAAUUAUUGGGCGUAAAGAGCUCGUAGGUGGUUUGUUACGUCGGUUGUGAAAUUCAGGGGCUCAACCCCUGACUUGCAGCCGAUACGGGCAAGCUAGAGUUUGGUAGGGGAGACUGGAAUUCCUGGUGUAGCGGUGGAAUGCGCAGAUAUCAGGAGGAACACCGAUGGCGAAGGCAGGUCUCUGGGCCAAUACUGACACUGAGGAGCGAAAGCGUGGGGAGCGAACAGGAUUAGAUACCCUGGUAGUCCGACGACCGUAACGGUAGGGCGCUAGUUGUGCGACCUACCUACGGUUGUGCGCGCNGCUACGCAUAGUCGCCCGCCGUCGGAGUACGAGUCGCGAAGAAGUUAAAACGUUAAAGGUAAAGUUAGUUACGGUCGUUGAGACGUUGCCGACGGACGACGACGAGGGAGGAGG